GGUCCGUUGUGAUAGAUAAAGCUGAUCUACAAGAGAUUGAAGAAAGUAUUGGAUAACGCUACAAUUUCUUAUUUAACUCUACCUUGUCACAUUAAAAAAUUACCGAUAAAAUAUGUGUAAUCAGUAGGUUGAAGGUUCGAUUCCUUCACGGCCCACCA
rnacentral:tRNA from 1 species